CAAAACUAUUCGUAAGGCCAGCACGCCUUGGAACCCACGUCGAGAGGAGUUGCGCUAACAAACCUCCGCCACCGCAAGGUAUAGGUUUCAGUAAGAAGACGCUAUCAAUUUGAUUUUCUCUAUGGCAACAUUAUCUGGUGUCAAUGUAAUCAAUUAUGAUAAGACUAUGGAUAUGUCGAGAAAAGAGUUUUUCGGUUGUGCUCGUAAGACACAUGGCCCCGAGUUAUGCGAGGAAGGGUGCCAAUUUGUAAUACGUGAGCAACAGAAAAGAAACAAUGAUCAGUGGCGGCCUACAAAGUACCCUAAGGGCACCUUCCUGAGUCUACCUCGUAAUGUUGAACCGCCUGUUAACGUGCUACUACGGACCUCUCACUCUUAAGAGUUUGGCCAGUCACACGAGUCCCUACUACAGGAACUCGGUGAUUACAGAAAGUCCUGCCUGGUCAGAUUCUGAUGAUGAAUCUCACUACUACGAAUUACCCAAGUGGCUGGUCGGUCGAAAUCCUAAGCAUGAAGUGCCUAGAGAUUUCAUGAAAGGCACUACUGCCUGUAAGGAGGCUACUGAAGCAGGUCAUUCUGCUCCAGCCAAGGUUAUUGAGGCUGGUAAAUCUGCUGAGGACCUGUCUGAGGAGAUUUCUAAAGAGCAUGAAAUAGGUAGUAGUAAGACGAGUUCUUCUUGUAAGAGAGAUGAUUAUUCAGCUGAGGAUGAGUUGGAUGCUGAAGAGAUGAUGAAGAGGGUGGUCGGUCGAAAUCCUAACCAUGAAGUGCCUAGUGAUUUCAUGAAAGGCACUACUGCUUGUAAGGAGGUUACUGAAGCAGGUCAUUUAGAAGAAGCUCGACUAUGGUGGCUUGCUCCAGCCAAGGUUAUUGAGGCUGGUAAGUCGGAGAUUUCUAAAGAGCAUGAGAGUUUGGAUCUCGAUGUUGAUUCUGAGAGGGAAAGCGCUAUUGGGUAGUAGUAAGAUGAGGUCUUCUAGUAAGAGAGAUGAUUACUCAGAUGAGGAUGAGUUAGAUGCUAAAGAGAUGAAGAAGCUAGGUACGACAAAGAGAAAGAGAAGCAAGAGAUGAUAAGUCUGUUGAAAAGGCAAUGGAAAACUUUUUCGGUUGUGCUCGUAAGGCACAUGACCCAGAGUCAUGGAGGAAGGGUGUCAAUUUGUAAUGCUUGAGCAACAGUGAAGAAACAAUCGUCAGUGGCCGCCUACAAAGUACCCUAAGGGCACCUUCCUGAGUUUAGCUGGUUACAUUGAACCGCUGUCUUUCUAUGAAGAUCUCACACUUAAGAGGUUGGCCAGUCAGGAUGGACCAGAAAAGUAUUCUUCUGGUCCAGAUUUAUGCCUUGAGGGUUCCAGUAAGAGUCCCUACAGGAACUCACUGAUCGCAGAAACGCCUGCCUGGUUAGAUUACAUAACUGAUGAAGGCCACUACAAUGAAGUGCCCACGAGGGUGGCUGGUCCAAAUCCUAACUAUGAAGUUCCAAGUGAUUUCAUAGAAGGCACUACUGCUACCGAGGUCAUUUACAAGAAGCUUACUGCAGCCAAGGCUGUUGAGGCUGGCAAGUCUGCCAAAGACCUGUCUGAGGAGAUUUGUAAAGAGAAUGAGAGUUCAGAUUGUGAUGUUGAUUCAGAGAGGGAAAGGGAAAGCAUAAUUGCUUUCUAGUAAAAGCAAUAAAUAUUCAGAUGAGGAAUGGAAACGACAAUCACUUUCUUAGCUAGCAUCACUUAUAAAUCCAAAAAAGUUGGAUAUUUACUUGCAAAUGUUACAAUUUCCCUGCAUCAACGGGGUUUUGGUAGACAAUGCAACAGGUCCAGUGACAUUGUAAACCUCAUUUUUCAGUGGCAACAUCCUCUACCAGAUGACAUGCCACAUUAUAAGUUUUUCUGCAGCUGGGGUAAAAAGUAAAAACCAAGUAAUGGCAAUCUGAACAUUUUAUAACCUAUCUGAUGGAGUAUUUUCUUUUCUUUGGCUUUACUUGUUUACAUGUAUAAGACUUUUUUCAUCGGCCCCUGCAAUUAAUCACCCCUCUGCUCUAUUUGGUAGCCAAUUCCAAGAUGUGCAUUGUAAGUACUCGCUAGGACCUAUUCUGUGAUUUUUGCAUUCUUGUAACCAACAGUGCAAGUCCAAACUAUACAGAAAUGGCAAUACCCUGCCGUGGUGUGCAGGCUGUUACUAACCCU